AGUGGAAUUACUGGGUCAUAUGGUGAAUAUAUCCUUAACUUUAUAAGAAACUGCCAAACUGCUUUACAAAGAGGUUGUACCAUUUUACACUCCUAAGAGCAGU
rnacentral:pre_miRNA from 1 species